AGUGAACGCCGGCGGUAGGCCUAACACAUGCCAGUCGAACGGCAGCACAGUAAGAGCUUGCUCUUACGGGUGGCGAGUGGCGGACGGGUGAGGAAUACAUCGGAAUCUACUUUUUCGUGGGGGAUAACGUAGGGAAACUUACGCUAAUACCGCAUACGACCUACGGGUGAAAGCAGGGGAUCUUCGGACCUUGCGCGAUUGAAUGAGCCGAUGUCGGAUUAGCUAGUUGGCGGGGUAAAGGCCCACCAAGGCGACGAUCCGUAGCUGGUCUGAGAGGAUGAUCAGCCACACUGGAACUGAGACACGGUCCAGACUCCUACGGGAGGCAGCAGUGGGGAAUAUUGGACAAUGGGCGCAAGCCUGAUCCAGCUAUACCGCGUGGGUGAAGAAGGCCUUCGGGUUGUAAAGCCCUUUUGUUGGGAAAGAAAAGCAGCAGGUUAAUACCCCGCUGUUCUGACGGUACCCAAAGAAUAAGCACCGGCUAACUUCGUG
rnacentral:rRNA from 1 species